rnacentral:rRNA from 1 species
AUUGAACGCUGGCGGCAGGCUUAACACAUGCAAGUCGAGCGGGGUGAUGAUGCUUGCACUAUCACUUAGCGGCGGACGGGUGAGUAAUGCUUAGGAAUCUGCCUAUUAGUGGGGGACAACAUCUCGAAAGGGAUGCUAAUACCGCAUACGUCCUACGGGAGAAAGCAGGGGAUCACUUGUGACCUUGCGCUAAUAGAUGAGCCUAAGUCGGAUUAGCUAGUUGGUGGGGUAAAGGCCUACCAAGGCGACGAUCUGUAGCGGGUCUGAGAGGAUGAUCCGCCACACUGGGACUGAGACACGGCCCAGACUCCUACGGGAGGCAGCAGUGGGGAAUAUUGGACAAUGGGGGGAACCCUGACCCAGCCAUGCCGCGUGUGUGAAGAAGGCCUUAUGGUUGUAAAGCACUUUAAGCGAGGAGGAGGCUCUUUUGGUUAAUACCCAAGAUGAGUGGACGUUACUCGCAGAAUAAGCACCGGCUAACUCUGUGCCAGCCGCCGCAGUAA